rnacentral:lncRNA from 1 species
GUUUUAAUUGGUUAAUUGUGAACUAGUAAGUGGUGACUAUGAUUAAGUAUGUGCUCAAGUGUAAAGAUGACCAAAAUCUGUGGGAAUGAUGAUUUUUAACAUGUCAUGUUUCAUUAAAAAUCCCUGUGGCAAUUGUUGGAAGAUGUAGGUUGUGUUUUGUUUGUUUCGUUUGUUUUGUUUUGCUCGAGGACUAGCAAAAGCUAAGUGUGGGGGAAUUUGAUAGGAGCAUAUUUAUGCGACUGAGUUAGCUUGUUCUCAUGCAUUUAUGUUGUUAUUUCUAAGUUAAUUACGUAUUUUAAGCUAUUUUCGUGUGUUUGUAGGUCCAUAGGCCUUAUAAAGCAAUAAGAUGUAUUUUGGUGCAUUUUGGAGUAGUUUUGGGCUUAGAAUGAAUAUCUCAUGCAUGGAGCAAGGAGGAUGGACGAAAUUGAAGACUAAAGAGGCUAGGAAUGUGUUAAAGAGAAAGAAAAAUUAAUGUAAAAAGGACAAAGAGCUCAGCCACAAAGGGGUGUCACUCCACCAUUCACAUUUCCAUCAUUGCAGUACACCACCAUUACACUCCCUUUGUCUACCAUGUGCACAAUAUCCUUUCACCUCCUUGCACUUAUUGAUUCACCACUUACUCACCUUUCCACCCAUGCCAUGCAUAACCACCCUUGUCCCCUUCAUUAUUUCAGAUUCAUGCAUCAUUACAUUGAAUCAUUGCACUCAAUUGCUACACCAUUCCUUGUUCCCUCCAUCAUUUUAGAUUCAUGCAUCAUUACAUUGAAUCAUUGCACUCAACUGCUACAUGCAUCAUUACAUUGAAUCAUUGCACUCAAUUGCUACACCAUUCCUUUUUCCCUCUAUCAUUUCAGAUUUCAUACAUCAUUACAUUGAAUCAUUGCACUCAAUUGGUACACCAUUCCUUGUUCCCUUCAUCAUUUCAGAUUUCAUGCAUCAUUGCACUCAAUUGCUACACCACUCCAUGUUUCCCUCCAUUGCCAUGCACUUCCUCUAUAAAAGGAAGCGUGUGUAACAUAAAUUUAGCUUAGUUCAUACUUGGUUAGAUCAUUCACUCCCAUUUCAACACAACCUUCAUCCAAACAUAUCCAUUCAUCUUCACAUCCAUUCCUCCAUACAAACAAACCUUCAAACACUCACCAACACCUUGUGCCGUAGCAAAGGAAGGGAAUAAGUGCUUGGACGUGCUUGCUGUCCAACUUGGAUCGUUAGAGCGUUUAGGUGUUUUCUUUCUUUUGUUUCUAAUGUUUAAAUUCAUUUCCUUUCGUUUUGUUGUAAAUAUGAGUGGCUAAACCCUUCUUGGCUAGGGGUGAUUUCAAAGCCAUGAUUAUGUGUGCAAUAUAAUUUGAUAAAUUCCAGUUAUGAACUCUUGAAUCGUGAAUGCAAUUGGCUUAACUAUUCGAUUGAUAACUUAUUUGUAUUUGUUAAUUAAGGGUCGACACUUAAUUGGCAUGCAUAAAUCCGUUGCUAGAAUAUAAGGAAGUUUCACAUAAUCGUUGCAAACUUAUAUUCACAUGUAGUGAAGGUCACUUAUAAACGAUCGCGUUAAGUUCAAUUCCUAGCAUGAGUGACAUGAUGUCAUAGUUGGAAGUGCUUUUUCAAUGCUUAUGAUUUUCAUUAAACGUAAUGAUCUUUGAUUGUAUCUCUAUUAUGAUGUCAUGUAGGGAACUUUAGAAGAAUGUUUUGGGUUGUCGAAUGAUGUCAUCCAAUCCAAUAAAACAAGGAAAAUAUGAGAGUUAACUAGUGAUGUCACGGUUAAUUUGGAGCAUUGUCGUUCAUAAUUCAAUGAAGUAGUAACUGGAAAUCAAGUUAUUUGCAUACAUGUCAUGUGUGGAGAGAAAGCCUCUAGCUAUCCCAUCCAUCAUCUUAUUUCUCACAUUCGUUUUACAAUCUGUCUAGAUUUUCAUACUUGUUUGUUUUUUACAACUUCAUCCAAAUCAAAACCCCCAUUUUAGUUCUUGUUUCAAAGUGUUUCAAAUCUGUUUUAGUUUGUGUUUUUAAGUGUUUUGAUUCAAGUAAAAGUCCAUUUUCGUCCAAAGUCAUUCCUAGUGUCUAGUUUAAGUUUAUUUGGUUGUUUUGAGUUGUUUUGAGUAUUUUAAGUUUGCUUUGAGUCUUGUGAAUCUUGUUAAGUGUUUUUAAGUUUAGUUUUUUGUUUUUUUAGUCAGUUUAGAGGUUAUUAGCAAGCCCUUCUAUUCCCCGGUCCAGAACGAUCUCUACAUAUACUUAUACUACAAUUGUCAAAAGAGGGUUAAAUUUGUGUGUUAAUUUAAUUUUCGCAUCAAAAUCACGGGCAAUUUGUCUAAGCACCGAUUUCAAAUCUCGAAGAGGCAUCUGCUUUUCCAGACGUGUCAGUAUCUGUCACAUGCACACUCAGCUUUGCGCUAAUCACAGGCAAUUUGUCGAAGAUUUCUAAUGAAGAAGAAAGCACGUGAAGCCAUACUGAUCGAUCACUCAAUGGUUGUCGACACGAGUGAAAGAAUAGUACCUCUACAGGUAUUAAAGAACUUCCUAUAACUGUCCACCUUCACCCUCCAUAGCAAGGCAGACAUACUCAACCUUUCUUCAUCUCUGAGAAUGCAUUUCCAACAAACCCUCUCGAGUCACUCAGUGUUCCUUAUUCCUUAGGGUACCUCUACAAACAAAUGACACCAAAGCCAAAGUAUCUCAUAUCACCAAGGAAGAAAGCAAGAGUGUCUCAUAUCAUGCGUUCUCCCUGUCAUUUCCUUUGUCCUUGUUCUUACCUGCAAAGACAAGGAUAAAGAAAGCAAUAUGCUGGAACCUCCACUCAAACUCAGGUAAGGAAUCGACUACCUGGAACCUUUGCAUGGUUGCUUACCUGGCAUUGCUCUCUAGUACUCGUCUUCAGCUACUGAUGUACUUCCAAAGAAGCUGCCACAUCUGCCUAGAGAACAGAUAAGGCAAGUGAAAAUCAUACCUUGCAGCAUGUGGAGAAACGUGCAGAAGAAACAAGCAGAGAAGAAUGCAGCCCUGCACAGUCAACUCAGCAGAAGAAAUCUGAGUUGAGGAACUUGAGAAGAUGCCACAUUCUGCCAGAAGAAUAGAUAAGGCAAGGGAAAAUGAUACAUUGAAGCAUGUGGAGACAAGCAUAACAAAGCACGUGCCGAUUCAUCCGCUACUUCUUCAAAAUCAAAAGUAUCUCAUAUCAUCAGGGUUGCAAUCACUCUGGGUAGAGGACUCGUUUUGACCCUCAAAUUCUUGGGUCGACUCGCUAGGCGUUGUGGGCUACACGUGCCGAUUCACCACUCUUGAAUCAAAUCCUUAAAGAUCAAGUCACCAAUUGGAAAAAAAGCCCAUCAAUCUUGAAGAUCAUACAGUUGACCAAACUGCUCAGGUGUGAAUUAGAAACAUUGAACAAAGCAACAAGUCAUCAUCUUCACCUUGUGCCUGCUGGCCAUGUGUUCGAGUCAACCUUCAAGAAUCAAACCUCAACGACCCUUGAAGAAGCUUCCAGCCAAAUUCAAGAUCAAGCCUCGACGGCCCUUGAGGAAAUCACAAGUUCGAUUCAAGAUCAAGCGUCCACCACCCUUGAAUCAAAUCCAGUUCAAGAAUAAGCUGAGGAAAGUCAACAAUUGGAGGAAUCCAGAAAAUCCUCCAACCCAAUUCAAGAUCAAAGUUGUGGAAAGUCAACAAGCGCAAAAAAACAAAUACGUGCCAAUUCAUUCACUACCAAAGCCAAAGAUCAUCUACCACAUGAAGCUCCUUGUAGUCCAAUUUCAACCUUCAAGAUCAAGCCUCGACUGCCCUUGAAGAAAUUUUCAGCCCAAUUCAAGAUCAAGCCUCAACGGCAUUUGAAGAAAUCUCCAACCCAAUUCAAGAUCAAGCCUCGAUGGCCCUUGGAUCGACAUCUACAUUAAGGGACUUCAAAACGCAUCUCCUACACAUGAUAAGCACAUAUAUACGACGCGCUUUGAAGUGAGGGCAUUUGUAGACAUCGAAAUUUCGGUGAAAUAAAUGUUGACCAAUAGUUACAAUUUCAACGCUCACGUGUCACAUAAAUUUUACACGUAGCGUGUGAGUAAACGAAAAAUCAAAAUAAAUCAGAAAAGUCAUCAAAUAGGACACAUGUCAACACCUGACAGAAACGAUUUAUUUCAUAUGCAUAUUAUAUUCAAAAUUAGGCCUUGGAAAAUUCUAUAAAUAGGAAGCCAAUGCAUUCAUUUGAGAAGGACCAAUUCAGAACCAAUUCAUACCAAUUCCUAACCAAUUCAUAUUACACCAAAACCUUGAAGCUCUGAAGCUCUGAAACUCCAAAGCUCUCAAGCAUCCAAGUUCCCGAAGAAUCAAGAAAACCCUUUUCGUUCUUCGUUCAUCGUUCUUCCAAGAUCAAGCCUCGACGGCCCUUGGAUCAACAAUCAUCCACCUUUAAGAUCAAGCCCCAACGGCCCUUUGAAGGAACUUCCACCAAUUCAAGAUCAAGCCCUGAUGGCCCCUUGAAGAAAGUGUUCAUCGUUCAUCAUCCGUUCAUCCUAAGAUCAAGCCCCAACGACCCUUUGGAUCAACAACAUCAACAAACCCCAUAUAUCCAACCGUUUUGCAAGAUAAAGCCCAAAAGCCCUUGAAGAUCCAUUCAUCAACUGUUCAUCAAGAUCAAGCCCCAAAAGCUCUUGAAGAUCCGUUCAUCAACAAUUCUUCAAGAUCAAGCCCAAAAGCCUUGAAGAUCCGUGCAUCACUGUUCUUCAAGAUCAAGCCCAAAAGCCCUUGAAGAUCCGUUCAUCACCGUCAUUCAAGAUCAUGCCUCAACGGCCCUUGAAGAAACUUUCAACCGUUCAUCCAAGAACAAGCCUCCACGGCCCCUGGAUCAAUCGCACAUCCACAAAUCAACACCUUACGGAGAUCGAAUCAGAGGAUCAAAUUUGAGAGAGAUUGUAACCCAAAAUCAUUAAUACAAAUAUUAUUUUGUACACAUGUUCUUGUCUCGUUUGUUUCAGGAAAAUUCCGUGUUUACAAUAAUCAUGCUCAAUACUACUCUCACAUAAUAGCUGGGCAAUAAUUCGCUAGUCACCUACGAGUUGGAACCAUAAAUAAGGUCUGUACGACAAGAAUGUGCACCUAAAUUGGAUCCAAUAUGAGCAUAUGGUGCGGGAGGUGACAUAAUAAACAGGCUUAUGCCAUAACUCUAGCUAAAUCACAAUCACCCUAUGUGCAGUUUUAUGACCUCAACAUUAUUCAAUCACAUAUCGCAUCAUCGAUGAUUCACAUAACCAAACAUAACUUACCCAAGCUUACCUGAGCGUCCACGGAACCACAAUUAUAUAUAAUGCAUCAUAUACCAAUUCAUGUACAAUUUAUAAACUUAUAUGCAAGGCAUUUAUGGCAUACUUUAAUUUAAACACAUAUUUGUGGAAAAAUAUCAAGUGUAUAAUAUAUAUUGAAAACCAAAAGCCCACUCACUGGUAUGUCGAAGGGUCGUAGCCCUCGAGUCGCCAUUGGAUACGCUCGUCCUCGGGAUAAGUCUCACCUAUAUGCGAAUUAACUAUAAAAAUGUUAUUUUAGAGCAUAUAGACAAAACUAGCUAAUAACUUCUCAUACAUAGCUCAAAAUGGGUAUAUGAAUAUACCACAGUGACCUACACAACCUCAGGAUCAUCCCCAAAUUUUUAGAUUAAUUUUUCAUCCACCCACGCACCGCCACGCGCCGGCGAGUGCACAGUAAGACGCGCGGCCACACGCAGGGAAUCCUGACGGAUUCUCUAACUACCGUUAGGAAUAUUCCGUUAAGACCAACGAUAACUGUUAAUUCUAACUGACAGCAUUAGCAUAUUCCGUUAACCUUAACGGAAUAUGCUCCUUUCUACUCCGGCGAGUCGCUGGUCGUCGAUGACUUCGCCGAUUUAUGGGUAAAACUUCGAAACCACUAUUCUUCUUCGUUUCUUCACCAUUUUCUAUGAAAUUUUCACCAAUGGAAAGCUAGAGAUGAGUAGAACAACAUUAUACCUAUUUUAGGACCUGUAACCCACGAAUUCUUACCGGAGAAAUUUGAGAAAACCGGCCAACUUCGAAACUAGCUAUCCCGACGUCCAAUUUCUUUAAACGAAGUACUCUAAGCUUCGUAAGGACCUCCUUAAGCUCCCUAUGAGCAUGAAAUUUCCUAAAACCAACAUAUUUACGUAUGCAUGAACAGUGACAAAAUCGGAGCUAGGGUUUCCACGUGAAAUCGAAGGUUUCCUUACCUGAAAAUAGUACCUUUGAACUCGUAUGGUUCUCACGAACACAAAGGCCUUUGAUCUGUUACAUUUCAAAUGGUUUUGGGUGAUGUCCGUACAAGAGAGAAGAGAGAGAGAGUCUGUGAGAGAGAAAGAGAGUACGGGAAGGAGUGAGAGAAAAUGUGGGUGUGUGUAUGUGGUCCAAAAGUCACCAAUCAAACCUAAGGAGAACACUUAGUUCUAAUUGGGUCCAAUAAUAAAGGAAUAAUGCAAGUUUGAACCCCUUAACAUGCAUAACACACACCACAAUACUCACGUCCAAGGGUAUAACUGUCAUUUCACAUCGUCAAAAAUUAAAUAUUCGGAAUGGUGAUAGACGCAUAUUUAUGCGACUUAGUUAACUAGUUUUCUUGCAUUUACGUUAUUAGUUCUUAGUUAUUUU